UCUUCCUUGGUCUAGUGGUCAGGAUACCUGCUUGUCAAAUCGAAAGAUUAAGCCCGCAGGUGGCCGGGGUUCGAUUCCCCGAGGGAGAG